GGUAUCUUAGCUCAGAUGGUAGAGCAACGGACUGAAAAUUCGUGUGUCCCUGGUUCAAUUCCAGGAGAUACCAC
rnacentral:tRNA from 1 species